rnacentral:rRNA from 1 species
UAAGGUAGCAUAAUAAUUUGCCUCUUAAUUGGGGGAUAGAAUGAAUGGAUAGACGUAUACUGACUGUCUCAAAAUUUACUUAAUUGAAUUUAAUUUUAAAGUGAAAAAGCUUUAAUAAACAAAAAAGACAAGAAGACCCUGAUGAAUUUUUUAACUAUCUUUGUAAUUUUCAAAGUAUCUUUUGGUUGGGGCAACCGAAAAGGAAAAGCAUCCUUUUCUUCUUUAAUUUUUGGUGGAAUAAUUACCAUUUAUAUAAUGAUUUAAAAGAAAAUUACCGCAGGGAUAACAGCAUUAUUUUUUAUUAAAGUUCUUAUUUAAUAAAAAGUUUGUGACCUCGAUGUUGGACUAAAGUAACUUUUGGGUGCAGCAGCUCAAAAAGUUAGACUGUUCGUCUAUUAAAACUUUACAU